rnacentral:rRNA from 1 species
UACGAAGGGGGCUAGCGUUGCUCGGAAUCACUGGGCGUAACGCGCACGUAGGCGGAUUGUUAAGUCAGGGGUGAAAUCCUGGAGCUCAACUCCAGAACUGCCUUUGAUACUGGCGAUCUUGAGUCCGGGAGAGGUGAGUGGAACUGCGAGUGUAGAGGUGAAAUUCGUAGAUAUUCGCAAGAACACCAGUGGCGAAGGCGGCUCACUGGCCCGGUACUGACGCUGAGGUGCGAAAGCGUGGGGAGCAAACCGG